ensembl:lncRNA
AUGGUCGGUGUGCUUCUCUUUGCAUAUAUCUCAGUGAAUCUAUUCCUUAAAUGUCAAGGUCAAACGAUUCAUCAAGCUAAGAUUUUCUGUGAAAAUAGAGAAGUACCAGAAGGUGGAAGACUGGAGGUUACUUGCAGCACAUUUGGCCUUACAGUAAAGGCAGUUUAUUUAUAUCUGUUUAAAAAUGGCAAAGCUAUUGAUUGGAAAAAACAGUUCAAUCAACAAGACACCUCCUUUAAAAUGGAGAGAAUAGAUAUGAACCAUUCAGGCAACUACAGCUGUGGGUUUUCAGAAGAACAGUUGGAAAUAACCAAAGUGACAGGAUAUGGUCUUAAUAACAUCUUCAUAAAUGUGAUUGAAUCUUUAAUUUAUACACAGAUACAUUUGCGUAAGCCUGAGGUGCCGGUGGGAAGUGAUGCUGAGUUUAAAUGUUCAGCAUCCAUUCCUUUACACAAAAACCAGUCCGAGAACAUGAUUUUGGUUUAUCUCAUCAAAAAUGGAAAGCCUGUUGAAGUUAAUAUUUGGGACACAGAGAAGAUGAUGACAACAUUCACCCUCAGAGAGGUCCGGACUGAAGAUGCUGGGACAUACAGUUGUGUUGUAUUGUUAAACAUACUCCCUUACCAUGGAAUGACACUUCAUCAAAAUAUUAAAGUCAAUCUUAAGAUUACUGCGACAUCUAAUAGCAGCAUUGACAAAGUCAUAAUUGUCAUAAUGUGCGCUAUCAUAGUGUUGCUCCUCAGUCUGUUUCUGGGAAUCUGGGCACUGAUCCGAAAACGAGGAUGUCUUGGAAUCCACAACGAAAGAUCCUCGAAAAACGAGACAGAGCUCAGAGGAACAGAAAUGUUCUAUGAAGAAAUUGACACACCUUACACAUCUGGUACUGGUGACAUACAACCUGUUGUCUGGACUGCCUCAGAGUGUGAUGAAAGUUCUUCUGAAAGUGAUGGAGAGUAUAAUGAUGUGGGAUGUGCAGUAUAGCACCUGCAAGCAUUACAGUAUGAUUAAAUUAUACUGUUGCAACUUUGUGAUGUUAUCUAUGCUUUUGCUAUUUUACAACUGUUGCUUUUUGUGGUUUAUUUUAGCUUGUCCUUUUAAGUUUCUAUUUUAAUUUACUAUUAUCUGUUUAUUGUCACUUGUUUUUUUUUUAUAACACUGACCAACUGACUGUUGACUAUCGCUUUAGUCACUGUGCACAUUUUUUUCAUGUAAACAUUACUGUAAAUUAUCUUUCAAGACUAGAAAUUAACUCUCAGAAUUCAUAGCAAAAUACAAUAUACAUAAUGUUAAUGUAACAUUAAAUUUUAGAAUACAAACUGAUGUUGGUUUUAUUUUUUAUUUUUUUUAGUAUUAUUAUUAUUUUUUAUUUAAUCUGCACUGUGUUAGUGUUUUUACAAAUGUACUGAAGAAUAUCUCACAAUAAAAUGCUUGGAUUUUACA